GUAACUUUCUGAGGGAGUGGACCUGCUUUGCAGGGGUACCUGAGUCCCAGUGUUUCCCAGUGAGUGGUGGGAAGCGAUGGUACUGUGUUGGAGGACAGAGCAGCUGUACUUUACAGCAGCAUUUCUCAGACCCAGCAUCCUCUGGCAGGUGAUUCCCCUCAGAGAGACUGCCAUGUAAAGAGAGAUGGUGAAAGUGACAGAAAGGUAUAAACUGCAGGAGAUCUUUUUGAACUACCCCUGCCACCUGUUCUUUAACAUGAUUAAUCUUCAUCUCUGUGGCUUGCAUUUGGUACUUCCCUGUCUGUGUACAGUUGCUCUAAUAUGCCUGAAUUGUCCCACUGGAAUUCAAUCCAACCAGUUAGGAUGGUGACAACUAGUCUUGCCUAUAUACGCACCUGAAUCGGACACCAGGUUUGCUCCAAAGUGGUUGUGAUUAUGAAUCGUUUCUUCUUCCCAUUGCCCCAUGAAAAUAUUGCCAUAGCUUGGAAUGAACCUGGUGCCCAUAGCAGUCUCUAAAUUUUAUAGAGAAAAGAACAUCAAUUCCCACUAUCCCCAAGGCUGGAUCUUCAAAGUCCCUCACCAGACACAUCACCACCACUAGACAUCAGCCAACCAUCUGCCCAGAUAUCUCAGAGAGACACAAAUUUUCCAGUAGUGACAGUCACAAGGGGUGUCAGAAAUAGAAUUAUAUUGGUGUUUUUCUGAAUUUGCAGAUUGGGGCUACCAUCUCUACAUUGGCAAUUAUAUAGAAGAGAUUGUUUUUUUUUUCACAAGAGAGAAUACUGUAUCAUACAGUAAAUUAUAUUAUGAAAGGAAUCACUGAGUGGUGUAUCUGGAGUGUUUGGCUCUCAUGUAACCAACAGGACCCAUACCCAGCUCAAGAAAUCAUAAGGCUAAUGUUUACAGGUGUCAAUAAAAUUAGUAAUUUUGCAAAAA